rnacentral:rRNA from 1 species
GAUGAACGCUGGCGGCGUGCCUAAUACAUGCAAGUCGAGCGAACGGACGAGAAGCUUGCUUCUCUGAUGUUAGCGGCGGACGGGUGAGUAACACGUGGAUAACCUACCUAUAAGACUGGGAUAACUUCGGGAAACCGUAGCUAAUACCGGAUAAUAUUUUGAACCGCAUGGUUCAAAAGUGAAAGACGGUCUUGCUGUCACUUAUAGAUGGAUCCGCGCUGCAUUAGCUAGUUGGUAAGGUAACGGCUUACCAAGGCAACGAUGCAUAGCCGACCUGAGAGGGUGAUCGGCCACACUGGAACGGAGACACGGUCCAGACUCCUACGGGAGGCAGCAGUGGGGAAUCUUGCGCAAGGGGCGAAAGCCUGACGGAGCCACGCCGCGUGAGUGAUGAAGGUCUUCGGAUCGUAAAACUCUUUUAUUGGGGAAGAACAUAUGUAAAGUAACAUCUGCACAUCUUGACGGUACCAAAUCAAAAAGCCACGGCUAACUACGUG